rnacentral:rRNA from 1 species
UAAUGUCUGGGAAACGUAGCCUGAUGGAGGGGGAGUAACUACUGGAAACGGUAGCUAAUACCGCAUAAUGUCGCAAGACCAAAGAGGGGGACCUUCGGGCCUCUUGCCAUCAGAUGUGCCCAGAUGGGAUUAGCUAGUAGGUGGGGUAACGGCUCACCUAGGCGACGAUCCCUAGCUGGUCUGAGAGGAUGACCAGCCACACUGGAACUGAGACACGGUCCAGACUCCUACGGGAGGCAGCAUG